rnacentral:rRNA from 1 species
GGUUUUCGGACCUAGAGACCGGCGCACGGGUGCGUAACGCGUAUGCAAUCUACCUUUUACAGAGGGAUAGCCCAGAGAAAUUUGGAUUAAUACCUCAUAGUAUUAUUGAAUGGCAUCAUUUAAUAAUUAAAGUCACAACGGUAAAAGAUGAGCAUGCGUCCCAUUAGCUAGUUGGUAAGGUAACGGCUUACCAAGGCAACGAUGGGUAGGGGUCCUGAGAGGGAGAUCCCCCACACUGGUACUGAGACACGGACCAGACUCCUACGGGAGGCAGCAGUGAGGAAUAUUGGUCAAUGGGCGCAAGCCUGAACCAGCCAUGCCGCGUGCAGGAUGACGGUCCUAUGGAUUGUAAACUGCUUUUGUACAGGAAGAAACAGUUCUACGUGUAGAACCUUGACGGUACUGUAAGAAUAAGGAUCGGCUAACUCCGUGCCAGCAGCCGCGGUAAUACGGAGGAUCCAAGCGUUAUCCGGAAUCAUUGGGUUUAAAGGGUCCGUAGGCGGUUUAGUAAGUCAGUGGUGAAAGCCCAUCGCUCAACGGUGGAACGGCCAUUGAUACUGCUAGACUUGAAUUAUUAGGAAGUAACUAGAAUAUGUAGUGUAGCGGUGAAAUGCUUAGAGAUUACAUGGAAUACCAAUUGCGAAGGCAGGUUACUACUAAUGGAUUGACGCUGAUGGACGAAAGCGUGGGUAGCGAACAGGAUUAGAUACCCUGGUAGUCCACGCCGUAAACGAUGGAUACUAGCUGUUCGGAGCAAUCUGAGUGGCUAAGC